AACGAACGCUGGCGGCAUGCCUAACACAUGCAAGUCGAACGAGACCUUCGGGUCUAGUGGCGCACGGGUGCGUAACGCGUGGGAACCUGCCUUUAGGUUCGGAAUAACUCAGAGAAAUUUGAGCUAAUACCGGAUGAUGUCUUCGGACCAAAGAUUUAUCGCCUUUAGAUGGGCCCGCGUAAGAUUAGCUAGUUGGUGGGUAAAGCCUACCAAGGCGACGAUCUUUAGCUGGUCUGAGAGGAUGAUCAGCCACACUGGGACUGAGACACGGCCCAGACUCCUACGGGAGGCGGCAGUGAGGAAUAUUGGUCAAUGGACGCAAGUCUGAACCAGCCAUGCCGCGUGCAGGAUGACGGUCCUAUGGAUUGUAAACUGCUUUGUACGAGAAGAAACAACAAUUACGUAGUAAUGUCUUGACGGUAUCGUAAGAAUAAGGAUCGGCUAACUCCGUGCCAGCAGCCGCGGUAAUGUGACUACUG
rnacentral:rRNA from 1 species